CCUACGGGAGGCAGCAGUGGGGAAUAUUGGGCAAUGGGCGCAAGCCUGACCCAGCAACGCCGCGUGAAGGAAGAAGGCUCUCGGGUUGUAAACUUCUUUUAUCAGGGACGAAGCAAGUGACGGUACCUGAUGAAUAAGCCACGGCUAACUACGUGCCAGCAGCCGCGGUAAUACGUAGGUGGCAAGCGUUAUCCGGAUUUACUGGGUGUAAAGGGCGUGUAGGCGGGAAAGCAAGUCAGAUGUGAAAACCAUGGGCUCAACCUGUGGCCUGCAUUUGAAACUGUUUUUCUUGAGUACUGGAGAGGCAGACGGAAUUCCGUGUGUAGCGGUGAAAUGCGUAGAUAUACGGAGGAACACCAGUGGCGAAGGCGGAUUGCUGGACAGUAACUGACGCUGAGGCGCGAAAGCGUGGGGAGCAAACAGGAUUAGAUACCCCAGUAGUC
rnacentral:rRNA from 1 species